ACACUGACGACAUGGUUCUACAAUCAACUUUCGAUGGUAGGAUAGAGGCCUACCAUGGUGGUGACGGGUGACGGAGAAUUAGGGUUCGAUUCCGGAGAGGGAGCCUGAGAAACGACUACCACAUCCAAGGAAGGCAGCAGGCGCGCAAAUUACCAAUCCCGACACGGGGAGGUAGUGACAAUAAAUACUGAUACAGGGCUCUUUUGGGUCUUGUAAUUGGAAUGAGUACAAUUUAGAUCCCUUAACGAGGAACAAUUGGAGGGCAAGUCUGGCGCCAGCAGCCGCGGUAAUUCCAGCUCCAAUAGCGUAUAUUAAAGUUGUUGCAGUUAAAAAGCUCGUAGUUGAAUUUCGGGGUUAGUAGGUUGGCCAUGCCUCCGGUAUGUACUGAUCUCACUGAUUCCUCCUUCCUUAUGAACCGUAAUGCCAUUAAUUUGGUGUUGCGGGGAAUUUGGACUGUUACUUUGAAAAAAUUAGAGUGUUUAAAGCAGGCUAACGCUUGAAUACAUUAGCAUGGAAUAAUGAAAUAGGACGUUCGAUCUUAUUUUGUUGGUUUCUAGGAUUGACGUAAUGAUCAAUAGGGAUAGUUGGGGGCAUUAGUAUUCAAUUGUCAGAGGUGAAAUUCUUGGAUUUAUUGAAGACUAACUACUGCGAAAGCAUUUGCCAAGGAUGUUUUCAUUAAUCAAGAACGAAAGUUAGGGGAUCGAAGAUCGAUUCAGAUACCGUCGUAGUCUUAACCAUAAACUAUGCCGACUGGGAAUCGGAUAAUGUUAAAUUUUUUAAUGACUCAUUCAGCGCCUUACGGGAAACCAAAGUGUUUGGGUUCAUGACCA
rnacentral:rRNA from 1 species